rnacentral:rRNA from 1 species
GACGAAGGCCUUCGGGUCGUAAAACUCUGUUAUCAGGGAAGAACAAGCAUCGUUUAACUGACGGUGCCAUGACGGUACCUGACCAGAAAGCCACGGCUAACUACGUGCCAGCAGCCGCGGUAAUACGUAGGUGGCAAGCGUUGUCCGGAAUUAUUGGGCGUAAAGCGCGCGCAGGCGGCUUCUUAAGUCUGAUGUGAAAGCCCACGGCUCAACCGUGGAGGGUCAUUGGAAACUGGGAGGCUUGAGUGCAGAAGAGGAGAGCGGAAUUCCACGUGUAGCGGUGAAAUGCGUAGAGAUGUGGAGGAACACCAGUGGCGAAGGCGGCUCUCUGGUCUGUAACUGACGCUGAGGCGCGAAAGCGUGGGUAGCGAACAGGAUUAGAUACCCUGGUAGUCCACGCCGUAAACGAUGAGUGCUAAGUGUUAGGGGGUUUCCGCCCCU